rnacentral:lncRNA from 1 species
CUCAGAGCCACAGGUGUUGUUCAGCAGUCACUGAUUGGCACAUAGACGGCUGCAGGUGUGGAACAGGCCACUUGCUGAAGCGCGGGAACAGGCCGGUCGGUUCAUCUGAGCAACAGGAGGGUGUGUGCCCUCUGGCACGUGGUCUCCAAAAACGCAACAUCCUGGCCAGAGUGAAACUGAGACCCAAGCACCGUUUAUGAAAAGGCAUGGCUCUCUGGAUGCGCUUAUCAGGCAUCCACAUGCAUAGGUCCAGAAACUGUCAGUGUGAGCACAAAGGAAGACGAAGGACCACGAACCCAGCAUCAACACGCCACUGGCGAGCUGACAGAAAGGAGGACGGACAGAGGAACGAGGAACUUUCCCGUGACCCCGAGACCUGGGGGCCACAGGUCUGCUGUAAGUGGGUUUGGCCCCUCCUGCGUGGGGGGCAGGGGAAGUCCCUGCUGCACCGGGUGAACACAGGGUAAGGGUGUUGGGUUGGUCUCCACUGAGGCUGCUCAGAAGGGAGUUCCAUUCAUUUUUCCCUGGUAACAUCCGCAGGGUCCUUCUCCACCAGCACACAGCUCCCCACUGCGUGGUCCUGUUCUUGAACUGAUGGCCUAACACCAGCAACGCCUCUCAGUCCUGAGACCCUCCUCUGGCUGGGAGCCACGGUAUCCAUGGCAACCAUGGCUGACACAGAGGAGGAUGCGGACAUCCUGGGAAACAAAGCCACAUCUGAGUGAAAAGCUCAGAGGUGCGGGUACUGGGGUACAGCGCGUGUGGGGCGCCCCCACGUGGUCAAUCAGGAUAGAGGCGCAAGCGUGUCCCGCAGCGGGUGUAGAAAACUGGCCCAAGCCGGAGUGUCCAGAGGACCAUGCCUAAGGAAAUGAGUUUGUCACAUUGCAGACCCCUCUCUCGCACCUCCCUGGCUUCUGACAGUGACCCUCUUCAUCCCCUCUUCAUCCUGUACCUGUGCUGGGACCCUCUUCAUCCCGUGUCCGUGCCGGGACCCUCUUCACCCCGUGUCCGUGCCGGGACCCUCUUCACCCCGUGUCUGUGCCGGGACCCUCUUCAUCCCGUGUCCGUGCGGGACCCUCUUCAUCCCGUGUCCGUGCCGGGACCCUCUUCAUCCCGUGUCUGUGCCGGGACCCUCUUCAUCCCGUGUCUGUGCCGGGACCCUCUUCACCCCGUGUCUGUGCCGGGACCCUCUUCACCCCGUGUCCGUGCGGGACCCUCUUCAUCCCGUGUCCGUGCGGGACCCUCUUCAUCCCGUGUCUGCGGGACCCUCUUCAUCCCGUGUCUGUGCCGGGACUCGCUAUUCUGUUGGGCCCAGGGAACACAGGGAUGAGUUAGGCUCAGCAGCCC